rnacentral:rRNA from 1 species
AGACUCCUACGGGGAGGCACAGUGGGGAAUAUUGCACAAUUGGGCGCAAAGCCUGAUGCAGCCAUGCCGCGUGUAGAAGAAGGCCUUCGGGUUGUAAAGUACUUUCAGCAGUGAGGAAGGCGGGUACGUUAAUAGCGUGCUCGUUUGACGUUAGCUGCAGAAGAAGCACCGGCUAACUCCGUGCCAGCAGCCGCGGUAAUACGGAGGGUGCGAGCGUUAAUCGGAAUUACUGGGCGUAAAGCGCAUGCAGGUGGUUUGUUAAGUCAGAUGUGAAAGCCCGGGGCUCAAACCUCGGAAUAGCAUUUGAAACUGGCAGACUAGAGUACUGUAGAGGGGGUAGAAUUUCAGGUGUAGCGGUGAAAUGCGUAGAGAUCUGAAGGAAUACCGGUGGCGAAGGCGGCCCCCUGGACAGAUACUGACACUCAGAUGCGAAAGCGUGGGGAGCAAACAGGAUUAGAUACCCUGGUAG